rnacentral:rRNA from 1 species
GUCUACAGCCAUGCUACCCUAAACACACCCGAUCUCAUCUGAUCUCAGAAGCUAAGCAGGGGUCGGGCCUGGUUAGUACUUGGAUGGGAGACCACCUAGGAAGACCAGGUGCUGUAGGCU